UCACCAAACUCGUUUAGGCUGAUCUGCUACAUUCGGGAUACAGGGAACAUUGUGCACAUUUGACUUUGACCAAACUAGUCCUUUAACACCAUGCAGAUUAAAUUCCUCAAAAAAAAUAUGAUGCGAUGAGUCAUGCCAUGGGUCGCACCCUUGGGAGGGGAGGAGGGGGGGGGGGAGAUCCUGUGCUUGCUUGAGGAUCUCGUGAUGAAUCGACUCCCUUGAGAACCGAGUCAUUUACGAAUCACCCGACUACGCACCCUUAUCGAUCACUCCUUCCUCUGAGAUGUAAAACUGGUCUUCUGCGGGUUCUUCGGUUCUGGCCUGCACCGAGCCAGACUCCAUCGCGGCUCGGCUCGAGGUGUCGCUGCUCACGCGCACCCUCCGUCGGUUUAUAACGCUGCGGGGCCAGUCGGACUGCACUGUGGGUAAACACAGGCCAACACUGGGCACGGUUUUAGCGCCGUGACUCCUUCCAGAGGAGCUCCUGAAGGCUUUGAGAUGGGACGGUUCUCUGCGUUCUGGGGUCGCGUCUGAGGAAAAGUGGAGGUCCUCGGCGCCGAUGGACGGCGGUCGGUUUCGGUUUAACAGCAAGCAUUGCUUGAUGUUCUUCUCGGCGGCGGACAUGUAGUACCGCACCGCCUUCAGCUCGCUCUCGGACACAUCGAGCCUCUCCCGCAGGGUCCGGUUCUCGCGCCGGGACUCCGCCGCGGCGUCACGCGCUUCGGUCAGCCUCGCGCCGACAAUCCGCGCCGUUUCCUUCAACACCGUGUCCACUGCGCACCUCACCGCCUGGUCGAUCGUAGAGGCGAGCUCGUACUUCAGGAACGACACGCUGAUCCCAUCUAAAGCCAUGGUUCCUGUCCUGUUUUUCAGCGGUGAUGAUAACCUUCCUAGCUCCGCCACUUCUCACACUGCUAGAUCAGCGUUAGCUUUUUUUUUUUUCGUUUCCCAAAUAUUUGUUCUCCAGCUUGAGAAGUCAGUUUAAAAGCUGGCAUUUCAUUUUCGUCGACACGGGGAACGAAUUAAAUAAGAAUACACUGCAAAAAAUGUAGAGUCUCGCAAUGUUUAUUCUGCGCAAACGCAUUAGUAAACAAACCUUAACAAGCCUCCGCUUUAUCGUCGCGGAUUCAGGUGUCGCAGG